AUGAACGCUGGCGGCGUUCCUAAUACAUGCAAGUCGAGCGAACAGACGAGGAGCUUGCUCCUCUGACGUUAGCGGCGGACGGGUGAGUAGCACGUGGAUAACCUACCUAUAAGACUGGGAUAACUUCGGGAAACCGGAGCUAAUACCGGAUAAUAUAUUGAACCGCAUGGUUCAAUAGUGAAAGACGGUUUUGCUGUCACUUAUAGAUGGAUCCGCGCCGCAUUAGCUAGUUGGUAAGGUAACGGCUUACCAAGGCAACGAUGCGUAGCCGACCUGAGAGGGUGAUCGGCCACACUGGAACUGAGACACGGUCCAGACUCCUACGGGAGGCAGCAGUAGGGAAUCUUCCGCAAUGGGCGAAAGCCUGACGGAGCAACGCCGCGUGAGUGAUGAAGGUCUUCGGAUCGUAAAACUCUGUUAUUAGGGAAGAACAAAUGUGUAAGUAACUAUGCACGUCUUGACGGUACCUAAUCAGAAAGCCACGGCUAACUACGUG
rnacentral:rRNA from 1 species